UACGGUUACCAAGGUCUCUAAGCCUGCUCCUAAUGCUAGGAGCUGCAGGCGUCUAAUAAUAGUACUAGUAGAUCGGAAGAAUCCGUAAGGACAUGUCUAGGACGUCGACGGUUACUGGCUUCUGCGUGAGCCGUAGUCGGGGAGUAGUCAGCGGCGGCAACGAUGAGAUGAUUAUCAUGACGCAUAGCCUUAUCGAAUUACUGUUCCGACGCUGACUUCAGGUGUUUCCUGAUCGAUACAAGACCCAGAUCGUCGUGUAGAUCGACGCUCCCCACGUGCCACGGUGCUCCGAAGGCUAACCUACAAAAACUUGGUUGAAGGGAUUGGAGGGAUGUGGGUUGCGGGCCGCAUGAGCGAACACUAAACUCGCAUCAUGGAGUAAAGCCUGUCGAGGAUAAAGGCGGCACGUUUGGGGAAAGACUGCCAUGUACUAUCCGGCUUUGGAAUGCGGGGAGUCAACGGUAUUUUCAGAGCGUUAUAAGAUGUCCUUCUUUAAAUGUAGCUGACGGAGAAUACUUAAGGUCAGCGGUUUAACUCUACCCCUGGUAUUGCUGAAGUUCAUUUUCGAUGGUAGCCAGCGAUGGUUAAUGUACCAUCAAGUAGAUGGCAUGUUCGUUUGGCUAUAAGGAAAAUAAAAAAUAAGUAAUAGUUUAAGAAAAACUAACAAAAUACGCUUUUAUAGAAAAUCCAACUAAAAAUAGAAAAUAAAUUUGAUUUAAAAAUAGUGUAAGAAAAAAUGGUUUUAUUGUAAAAAAAGCGUGGAGUUCUUUUCAGGAUAUUAUCAAAAUAACCCAUCUACUCAUAUCUGUUCAUAAAAUAUUUAUAUAUAACUACUGAUACCAUGCACCCCACGCUUUUUCUCAUCAAUCAAAAUCAAAAUCAUUUUUUCUUACACUAUUUUUAAUUCAAAUUUAUUAAAAUUUAUUUUCUAUCUUGUAAUUGGGUUUUCUAUAAAAGCGUAAUUUGUUCGUUUUUUAUUUUUCAUUUUUUAGUUGAAUUUAAAUUUUUUAUUUUUUUUUUAAAUAUUAAUUGUCAUCUGUCCUUAAUAAUUAUACCAAAUUUCGAGUUAACCCGAAGUUUUGAAGGGGGUCAAAAUCAUGUACAAAGAUUCCGUUACAUACUAACAUACAUACAUACGUCUGAAGCUAAUAAAAGCGUAUAAAAAAGGAAAAAAAAA